AGAGCGAACGCUGGCGGCAGGCCUAACACAUGCAAGUCGAGCGCCCCGCAAGGGGAGCGGCAGACGGGAGAGUAACACGUGGGAACGUGCCCUUUGGUUCGGAACAACACAGGGAAACUUGUGCUAAUACCGGAUAAGCCCUUACGGGGAAAGAUUUAUUGCCAAAGGAUCGGCCCGCGUCUGAUUAGCUUGUUGGUGAGGUAACGGCUCACCAAGGCUACGAUCAGUAGCUGGUCUGAGAGGAUGAUCAGCCUCACUGGGACUGAGACACGGCCCAGACUCCUACGGGAGGCAGCAGUGGGAAUAUGGACAAUGGGCGCAAGCCUGAUCCAGCCAUGCCGCGUGGAUGAUGAAGGCCUUAGGGUUGUAAAGUCCUUUCGGCGGGGAAGAUAAUGACGGUACCCGCAGAAGAAGCCCGGCUAACUUCGCGCCAGUAGCCGC
rnacentral:rRNA from 1 species